AUCAGCUUCAUCCUGAAGAAAUUUCUGGCCAGACCAUGUUUCUGUUUAAAACGCUAGAACUGGACUCAAUGUAUGCCUUCUUGGUAAAUGUUUAGGAUCCAACUUGCAUGUUCCAUUUGGAAAAUAUCUUGGGCCCAAAAUGAACAAAUUAAGAUGAUGCUAAGAAGAUAAUCCUCAUUCAAUUUGUAAGUAUGCUCUUCAGAGUUGACACCUAGCAAAUCAAAGCAGGCAAGAAAACUGAGGCUGAGAGGGAUCAAGAAGUGAGCUCAAAGUCAGACAAGUAGUGAGUCCUGCCUCCAGCUGACAUCACUGGGCUUAAUCUGGGACAGGAGGUAGAGCCGCUCCCUUCUGACUAGCUCCCAGCAGCCCCCACACCUGAUCUGCACCUAUAAAUGGCCCACACCACAGCUUCUAAAGCCCAUGUCUGCUCAACAGAUCUACUCCAUAAAUGACACACCUCUCAUAGUUAUUCUUUCUGUCAUUUGGUGAAGAUGAACAGAGAAGAAAGGGAGCAACCUUAGCAUCUUCCAGGGGGUUUAGCUACAAAAACUCACCCCCAGCACAGCAAGAACACUAGAAAACCAGUGGGGGAAAACUCGUAAACACCUACCAAGCUCAAUAAGUGACAACAGUAUCGCUAAAGACAUAAACAACACCAGUACAUUUUCAGACAAUGUCUUUAGUGACACUACGAUAGGGAUGUUCAAGGAGUUUAAAGAUAUAAUAGCACAGGCAGUCAGCAAAGAAGAAGAAGGUAAAGAGUCAAAUAAAAAAAAAAGACUACUAAGAUCAGAAAUAACAGAAAUAAAGAGCAUGGUAGGUGAUAUAAAAAAACUCAAUAGAAGUUCUGAAUAGCAGAAUAACAGCAGCUGAGCAAAAGAUCAAGGAGCUCCAAGAUGAGAAAGAGGAAACAGCAGAAGGUAGAAAAUAGUCUACAAAGAAAUGAAUAGCAUACAAGAGGACUAUGGGAUGAGUUCAAGAGGAACAAUAUAAGAGUCAUUAGAGUGUCUGAACAGCAAGAAGACACAUGUGAUGAGGAAACAAAGUUAAAGACACCAUCUAUAAGAAUUUCCCAGAGUUGAGGUUUACGGGCACUGAGAUCCAAGAAGUCCACUCUGGGAAAGCAUCUCUCCAGCCGCCUAUUCCUAUUCUGGUGAAUUAUUUUUCAGUAAAUUCAUGUAAAGUCAACUGGUCUACUGUAAUUUUUUUUUUUUGCACUUCAUUCCAGGAAUUGUUUCCUGACCCAACAGGUGGAACGGAGAGAGUUUGUGGUUUGUGUAUAUUUAAUUUAUUGUUGUUUUUUGGGCUAUAGCUAGCAGUGCUUAGAAGCUACUCCUUUUUUGAAUUUAGUCACCAUGAAAUCACAAAGGUACGGGCUGGAGCGAUAGUACAGCAUGUAGGGCGUUUGCUGGCUAGGCCUCUAUCCUGGGCAUCCCAUAUGGUUCCCCAAGCACCGCCAAGAGUAAUUCUAAGGGCAGAGCCAGGAGUGACCCCUGAGUAUCGCUGGGUGUGACCCAAGAAAAAGGAAAGAAUAAAGAAAUCACAAAGUUAUUCAUGAUUUGGUUUCAGGCAUACAAUGUUU